AUAAUCAUACUCAUGUUAUAUGACAUUCACCGAAGAUCACUCUCGGUUGGACUAUAGUUUGUUUUGAAUAAACACAAGUCCGAAUACUUUGUAAAAUGUUUCAAAGAAUUCAAGAAAUGUAAGUUGAUGAGUAAGACAUCUAAAGUAAUUACCUCCUUAGAUUUGAUCCAAGGAAAAGUAACACUUUAGAUGAGUUCCCUUGAUAGAUAUCAAGGAAAAUAGCAUCAUAAGAUAAUGAAUUUCUCCAUUAGGAGAAGAACGAACUCGAAUAAGAUUUGGUUCGUUAGAUGUUAUCUAUUACCCAUAUAUAGGAUAUAUAUACUUCUAAAACAAUAUGAUUGUCAAUUAGAAGAUCUUCCAAAAUUUUCAUAACUCCAUAAGAUGUAGUUGGAAAGAAAGACAAAUCUUAAGCAUGUUAAGAUUUGGGGUUGUGUGCUAAAAGCAAUAUUUGUUUGAUAACAAUCUUGUGGGAUAUCCUUAAAUUAACUUUUGGAUAUCACUUCUAUAAACCAACUAACAAAUGUUGUUUUGUUGGGUAGUUCAUUGUAAUCCUACAAUGUGAUUUGCCUAAGAGCAAAUGAACGAGAGAUAGAACUCAAAAGAAUAGGUUCUUUGUGAGACAAGAAAGUAAUCAACAAAUAUAACAACCUAGUUCCUAUACCAAAAGCUCCAAGGUAGUCGAGAAGGAUUUAUAAACUGUCUCAGUUGAAUGGUUUGAACUUUAUGACUAUGUCAUAGAGUUACACCUCUUAAUUCGAAAGAAAUAAGAAUGAAAAUCCUUAUGACUACAUUGAGUGUAUAUAUGAUAUAUACUCAAGGAAAUGGUAAAAUACCAUUUGACCCGAAAUAAUGAAACCUUCAUAAGCUAAUUGGUAGCUUAAGGUGACUACAAUAAAAGAGAAUGGUUGACUUUGAAGAAACCGUCUUUGAGAUAGUCUUGGUUUCAAUUAAUUCGAAGAUUGUUGGCUACAACUAAAUGGUAAUUGAAUGUUUGGACAUAAUAUGGGUUUCCGAAACCAUUAUUAAGAUAGUCUUAAUAACAUAUGUCUAAAACUAUGAAUCACAAGACAUGUAAGUUGUAGAGAUCCAUCCAUCAUGAAUCUUAGCAAGCUAGUGGGAGCUAUAAGCAUCUUAUGAGAAAAAGCAUCAAAUCGUUUGAUUUCUCAUAAAGAUGUAAAUGAAUCUUUUGUUUAUUAGGUUUACAAAAGAUUAGUGGGAGUUAAUCAUGUUCCUAAAAUUUAAGUAUAUAUAUAUGAUAUAUUAAUUUUGGAAAUAAAAUGAAAACUUCUUGGUUAAAGUUAUGACUUUAAAACAUUAUAUGAAGAUAGAAUGUAUAUGGGAGUUAAUCAUGUUCCUAAAAUAUAAAUAUAUAUAUGAUAUAUUAAUUUUGGAAAUGAAAAGAAUACUUCUUCGUUAAAGUUAUGACUUUAAGCAUUCUAUAACGAUAGAAUGUAUAUGGGAGACAUAGUCUAUAAACAUGGGAUGGAAAUCUAUAAUGAUAGAUUUUAGGAUAUAAUUGGAUUAUAUCAAGCCCUAAAUAAUAGACAAGAGAUGCUAGGAAGUUUCUCAUAUGAUGAUAAACUUCAAUCAAAUGGACAACUCUAGUAAGACUAAGAAGUUGCUCUUCUCAAAGAGAACGUACUCUUUGACUCCCAAAGAAAUAAUGCGUAAAUAGAAUCCUUUAUGCAUACGCAGAAAGGUGAUUUAUGUAUUUCAUAUUGUGUGAAAAACAUUGAUAUGAGUUGUACCUAGAACAGGUACAAGACGAUGUCAGUGCAAGCCCAGGAUCAGAACCAUGGCAACUGUCAAGUGAAUCCUUAAGUAUUUAAGAAAUACUAAAGGAUAAAUUCCUCAAAGAUCGAGGAAGAAUUAGAGUAACGUAAUGGAAGCGUAAAUGUAUUAGAUUGUGAAUCUAAUCCAUCAUUGGAUGUUUCU
rnacentral:lncRNA from 1 species